GACGAACGCUGGCGGCGUGCUUAACACAUGCAAGUCGAACGCAGUGGCGAACGGGUGAGUAACGCGUAAUCAACCUGCCCUUCCGAGGGGGACCACAGUUGGACACGACUUCUAAUACCGCAUUCUGAUGGUGGGGAUCGCGUUGGAUUAGCUAGUUGGCGGGGUCACGGCCCACCAAGGCGAUGAUCAGUAGCCGGUCUGAGAGGGUGAACGGCCACAUUGGGACUGAGACACGGCCCAGACUCCUAUGGGAGGCAGCAGUGGGGAAUCUUCCGCAAUGGACGAAAGUCUGACGGAGCAACGCCGCGUGAGUGAUGACGGCCUUCGGGUUGUAAAGCUCUGUUAAUCGGGACGCGGUACCGAAAUAGAAAGCCACGGCUAACUACGUGCCAGCAGCCGCGGUAAUAC
rnacentral:rRNA from 1 species